GCCGUCGCCAUGACCCGUGAGCACCGAGCCCCCUUCUCCUUGCCCUUUUCUUUCCGUUCACCCUAAACACCACCGGCGAGGCGCCGGCUUUGACCUUCCGUAGCUUCCCUAGCAAGGCGUUUCUCUGGGCGCGCUCUGUGGCCACCCUCACACUCGGUGCCCGGAAAUCGAGCCCUUUGCCCACGGCUACUUCACGGGACCACCCUCCCGGGUUAGGCAUAGGCCCUCCCGGAUCUUCCGCGGUGCGGUAACCAGCGUGAGCUCGCCCGCCAGAAGAAUAUGAAAAAGCAGAGCGACUCGGUUAAGGGAAAGCGCCGAGAUGACGGGCUUUCUGCUGCCGCCCGCAAGCAGAGGGACUCGGAGAUCAUGCAGCAGAAGCAGAAAAAGGCAAACGAGAAGAAGGAGGAACCCAAGUAGCUUUGUGGCUUCGUGUCCAACCCUCUUGCCCUUCGCCUGUGUGCCUGGAGCCAGUCCCACCACGCUCGCGUUUCCUCCUGUAGUGCUCACAGGUCCCAGCACCGAUGGCAUUCCCUUUGCCCUGAGUCUGCAGCGGGUCCCUUUUGUGCUUCCUUCCCCUCAGGUAGCCUCUCUCCCCCUGGGCCACUCCCGGGGGUGAGGGGGUUACCCCUUCCCAGUGUUUUUUAUUCCUGUGGGGCUCACCCCAAAGUAUUAAAAGUAGCUUUGUAAUUC
rnacentral:lncRNA from 1 species